GUGGGGAAUCUUGCGCAAUGGGCGAAAGCCUGACGCAGCCAUGCCGCGUGAAUGAUGAAGGUCUUAGGAUUGUAAAAUUCUUUCACCGGGGACGAUAAUGACGGUACCCGGAGAAGAAGCUCCGGCUAACUUCGUGCCAGCAGCCGCGGUAAUACGAAGGGGGCUAGCGUUGCUCGGAAUUACUGGGCGUAAAGGGCGCGUAGGCGGACAGCUUAGUCAGAGGUGAAAGCCCAGGGCUCAACCUUGGAAUUGCCUUUGAUACUGGCUGUCUUGAGUUUGGGAGAGGUGAGUGGAACUCCGAGUGUAGCGGUGAAAUUCGUAGAUAUUCGGAAGAACACCAGUGGCGAAGGCGACUCACUGGCCCAAUACUGACGCUGAGGCGCGAAAGCGUGGGGAGCAAACAGGAUUAGAAACCCCGGUAGUCC
rnacentral:rRNA from 1 species